GGUCGAUUUGGCAUUCUCGAUUGGAUCUGCAAAAUGGAAAAAAACAACAGAGGAAAAGAAAAAGAAAAACUUCAGCUAAAGCACAUUUAAUAUCCUCCAACACUGAAAUGAUACCAAUCCGGGCAUACUGUAACUCGCAGAGCUGUACAUAUUUCCAGUGAGAAAGUUCGCCCCCUGCCUCGCUGACCCUUGUGAUGGGAGAACUGUGUGUGAGCUGAAAAGCUAUCAAGGCUGUGACCUUUGUUAAUCAUCAGCCCUACACGCCCUUGUGUUGCCAUUUACAGCAGGACGAGGUCUGCCAACAUUUUCAAAGGGAGCCCUUUUCAGUCCCGGAUGCGACAAGCCGUCCACGAGGACACCUUCCAUUCAGAGCUUAUUAUGAGAGAGAAGAAAGUGUAGCCUGUAGCUGAGAGCGCCGCGUGUGAGAGCGGCGAACUGGGUUGUGACAUUGUGUUCCUGUGGCGAAGAGUAAUGGGAAUGUUGACCUUUUGAGGCAAUCCAUCCUCACAUGACUGACUUUCAGGGCUUUCUUUUUCCUUUUCUUUUUUCUUCCCGGGGCUGUUUGCAAGACAUAUCCAAGACAGAUAAGUCAUCCACCUCCGUCUCCCAGCAGCCCCCUACCUGCACGAGUAGUUGAGGUUCCGUCUGAUGCUCCUCUUGAAGAAGCUCUUGCAGCCCUCGCAGGUGAACACGCCAUAGUGCUUCCCGCUGGACUUGUCCCCGCACACCACACAGUCCACCACGCAGGCCUUGUCCUCGUCCCCGACGUCCACAUCGCUGCUGCCGGCCUGGGGCGACCCGUCCUCCUCCUCCCUCCUCAGGGUGCAUGUUUGGACAGUGUGUAACACUCCUCCUGACAAGUGAACUGGUCUCCAAGUGUAAAACUGGAGGAAGAUCUCCUGUGGAAUCCCUGGCCUGCUUUGUCUGUCAUACCAACAGCGUAUGUGUGUUGUGAAGGACUCCGCGAAAAAAAAAGGGGAGGACAAAAUAAACAAUCAGAGCCGGCAACCAAGGUUUCCAAUAACACCCUCCGAAUGCAGGAGAGAAAAAAGCCCACAGAGGAGGUCAGGAAUGCAGCUGCUCUCAGCGUGAAGUCGACUGUGGCGGAGUCUGUGCAUUUUCUCAGGAGUGCAGAUUGAGGCAGAUUAACGUUCAGUUGUUCACCUGAACAAUGCACACACACACACAUGCACACACACACACACACACACACACACACACACACACACACACACACACACACACACUACAUACUACUUAAAUUUAUCUUAGGGUUUACUUGAAGUUAAAUUUAAUCUUCAAACAAGGCUGAAUAUUAACAUCAAAUGAAAAUAUGGGGGAUACUAUUGUGCUGGAAUAUUUAACAAUAAUGAUAAUAAUACUUUGUUCGUGACUAUGUGAAUGAAGUGAAUGACAGUGUCCAAAAUCUUGGCUAUUUUUUAUGAGGCACUGACUUGUGGGUCUAUCAGUGUUUGGGCAUCGGCAGAAUCGGCAGAGAAUAAUCAUCAAAAUAUUUCCACAUGAAUUUUAAGUGCUAGAAAAGUUUAUAUAUAUAUAUAUAUAUAUAUAUACUGUAUAUAUAUUAUCAAAGAAUUAAGUGACAAUGCACCUUUUGUUGUUCACAGAUACAGGACGCCUGUAGACGUGAUAAGAACAUGAUACAUCACACAGAGUGAGACACACACACACACACUUUCAUGUGAUGAUAGUUUUAACUACAUGGUCCAGGGUUGGGGAUUGGAGCUCCUGCGUUGUAAUAACCUGUUUAGCAGAGAUUUACGUCUCUGCUUCCAUAUUAUCUUCUGCCAAAGAGAUUAUAGAAGCUUUUGUCAAAGUAUAAGUAGAUGAUAUUCAAACUGUACAGUAUUUAAAUUGUUAAUUCUUCCUCCCGUGCUAAAAGUAAGCCCCAGCAAAAGCUCACUUGAUGCUAUUUUUCAAAAACAAUGACAGAAAAGUACAAACCGCCACUGGCAGUCCAUGUGUUUUUUGUUUGUUUUUUUGUGCAUUGCCUGAGUUCGACCGCAGUUUGAGACGACUGAAUCAAUUCCCUGUAAAUGGUGGACUCUUUAUUACCCCGGGGGGCUGUUAACUGCAUUAGGUGAAAUGUAGAGGAAUUUGAAAUCUGGGGUUAAACUUUAACUCCGAGGAGUAACUCUGCGUGAACAAGCAAGAGCACACGACGCCCCGCUCCUUCCUCGUUAGCCCCCACUGCCCUUUGGCCCAGAAGCCAGAGGAAAAGUCAUCUCUUCCUCUCUCACAACACACUCUCCAUCCUUGAGCCUUUGACCUCGGACGAAUGACGGAGCACUUUAAAAUAAACAGGGAAGUGGAACCUGGCAAAGAACAACAUCUGCUGCGGUGACUCCAGCGCAACACACAGUCUCCAAUCAAUAUUUGCGCUCCUCCCAGCCCAGGACCUGCUGGAGGUGGUGGGAAACUUCCCAUUUGGUGUGCUUUGUUGUCAUUCAAAUCAGCUGUGAACGAGGUAUCAACCCAUUGUUUGCAGUCAAUAGAAGUGUUCACUGUAUUGGCAGCGAAGCGUGUUUGCUGUAAAGAUAAGGAAACAUUGAGCGAGGCUGACGUCGAACUGAACCAGGACAUACUCAACCUUGGUCCCUGACAUUCACAGUAUUCCACUUUUAUUUCUUGCUCUCCACAUGUUUUUGGCGUCUGACUCCGCUCCGGCUGUAUGCUGUUUCUCACAGACACAGAGCUACUGCUUGUCUCUGUUUUAGCUCAUUUUGGUAUUGACAAUGUUUUUCGGUCACUUCCUUCCGUCUUGUUUUGAGCUUCAUCGAGCUUCAAACAUUGUCUGUUCUGAGGCUGUCUCCUGUCUUUAUGGUAUAUUAAACUAAAAUGGGCUUGUAAAAGUUGUAAAUAUCUUUACUACAAUAAGCUAUCUCACUGUUUUUAUGGUUAGUUACAACUGUGAAUAUUAUAUUUAACAUAUUUCUAAUGUUUAAUUUGUUAUGUGUAUUAUUCCCUUUUUAAGUGAUGCAUUUGGGUGAAUCCAUCGACAGGAUUUCUAUUUAAUCUUGUUGAUUACUUAAAAAAAACAAACAACCUGAUAUUCCACCAAACUUGGGAUGGGGUCUGGGCCUGGGAACCUACUAAAUUUUGGUGUGAAUGUGGAUUAAGAGGCUGACCCAGGAUUUUUUCUUCCCUUUUUUAACUAUGUUUUAUGUCAAAUCAUUGAGGGUAAUCAGACCACUACUGUUUUCUUCUUCUAUAGUUUUACUAUAUGAAAUAGUGUUUUUACCUCAGUGCAUCGUCUUCAGUGCAGGUGUAUUCAACAUUUGGAAUACAUGUUGAUUCUAUGGGGGUUGAAGAGGUGAGCGUCAUGAUAAAAUAAUAAAAACAUGUUUCUAAAUGUUUCGCACCAGAUGUAAAAGGACUACCAUGGACAUUACAGUGUCAUCAGAUGACCCGUUUGACAGAUGAACUGCUUUAACUUUAGGCGUCCCCGAAGCCUGACAUCUUCAGACAGGGCAUUAACCUAACACUUUGUGCAGCCACAACAAUUUGAUCGAGUUCUAAGUUGUCAACUUCAAUCUCUCGUAAAUCUGUGUCCAAUCUGUUGCUGCCUGGUGUGCCCUCUGCUAUCGGUCACACAUUAGUCCACUAAGAUGCUGAGGAUGACAGAAAACGAACCCAAUGAGCUUCAGGGAAGACGACUCAAAUGCUUUAACGGGAUUAGGCCCAGGCCACUCCCCUGGCCCUCUUUCCCCCUAAACACCUUAUUGCUGUAAUCUACGACACACAAGCUGACGAGCUGAGUGACCUCAUUAGCUCUUCUGCUCUGUUGUUGUUCUGGACACUAAUCUGUGGUGUGCUGAGAAAACACAACCACACUCCAAGUUUCCUACAUGAGAGUGACUUUAUUAUGAAAGAUUCAUCACAAUUGAGGUGUGAAUCAAUUUUGAUGGAACAGAGCCAGGGUUUUUGCAUUUUUCAGUUUAUUUACUUCAAAUGACAAAAAUGUUGUAUUAGGGAAUUAAUAUACUUUCCCAGUGAGAACCAGACCUUUAAAAUUCUCAGUUUUUUUUAAAAAGUUUUCUGUAGAACAUAUUUUCUUGCUUUUUAACAGAAUGAAAUUUGGCCUGCAGAGACUUGAAACAUACAGUGUUUGAUAAAGUCAAUCCAUUCAAGUGAAAACCAUGUCCUGAUUUUUUGUCAGCAGCAAAACAAUCCAUACACGCAAUGAUUGAGCAUAUGAUGAGGAAACAACUUGUGAAAGUAUCUCAAGCAAACUUCAAGUCUCUGCAAGUUGAUUGUAGUACUUUGCUGCAACAUAUGAAAACCUGUGAAUGCCUGUGACAUAGAAAAAAAACAUACAUUCCUCAGAAAAGUUGAAUUACCCCGGAGGUUUUAACACACACCAACUGCUGUCUGGCAGGGCAGGUCAUUCUCCAUCUCUCUUUCCCCACGUUGUCUG